rnacentral:rRNA from 1 species
CUACAAUGGACAGUACAACAGGUUGCCAAGCCGCGAGGCGGAGCCAAUCCUCUAAAGCUGUCCCUACAGUUCAGAUUGCAGUCUGCAACUCGACUGCAUGAAGCCGGAGUUGCUAGUAACCGCAGGUCAGCAAUACUGCGGUGAAUACGUUCCCGGGUCCGUU